rnacentral:rRNA from 1 species
GACGAACGCUGGCGGCGUGCCUAAUACAUGCAAGUUGAGCGCUGAAGGUUGGUACUUGUACCAACUGGAUGAGCAGCGAACGGGUGAGUAACGCGUGGGGAAUCUGCCUUUGAGCGGGGGACAACAUUUGGAAACGAAUGCUAAUACCGCAUAAAAACUUUAAACACAAGUUUUAAGUUUGAAAGAUGCAAUUGCAUCACUCAAAGAUGAUCCCGCGUUGUAUUAGCUAGUUGGUGAGGUAAAGGCUCACCAAGGCGAUGAUACAUAGCCGACCUGAGAGGGUGAUCGGCCACAUUGGGACUGAGACACGGCCCAAACCCCUACGGGAGGCAGCAGUAGGGAAUCUUCGGCAAUGGACGAAAGUCUGACCGAGCAACGCCGCGUGAGGGAAGAAGGUUGUCGGAUCGUAAAACUCUGUUGGUAGAGAAGAACGUUGGUGAGAGUGGAAAGCUCAUCAAGUGACGGUAACUACCCAGAAAGGGACGGCUAACUACGUG